CACGUUCGUUGCAAUUUCAGUUCAUUUCAGGAGGAUUUCAUUUAAAUGAAAUUUCUCGUUCGCCUGAAAACGCGAACGCGCAUUCGAAAAAAAGUUGCGCAAUCGGAAGCCCAUUCGCAAAUGUGUAAACACGCGUCAGCUAUAAGCGUAUGAAUAGUUAUGCAAAGUAAACACAGACUCCCAUAAAUGUGUAACACGUUCUGUACACCGUUCGAUUCGAGUAUUUCACUGAUGCUGAACAUCCACGAUUACGCGGAUUCGGUCUUCGUCGUCUACAAUUUGUUUGAAAACUUUGGGUGCCACUGCACCUUCUAGUGACGUCAUUGCAUAUAAAAAUGAACGUCUUAUU